UACGAAGGGGGCUAGCGUUGCUCGGAAUCACUGGGCGUAAAGCGCACGUAGGCGGCUUUUUAAGUCAGGGGUGAAAUCCUGGAGCUCAACUCCAGAACUGCCUUUGAUACUGAAAAGCUUGAGUCCGGGAGAGGUGAGUGGAACUGCGAGUGUAGAGGUGAAAUUCGUAGAUAUUCGCAAGAACACCAGUGGCGAAGGCGGCUCACUGGACCACAACUGACGCUGAGGCGCGAAAGCUAGGGGAGCAAACAGG
rnacentral:rRNA from 1 species